rnacentral:lncRNA from 1 species
GUGGGUGACUCUGCAAACAGCCCUGGACAACUUUCAGGAAGACAGUUCUGGUCUGUAGCAAUUAACACAUGGUCAUCCUCAGAAAAAGGAGAUACCCAUAACUUAAAAUGCAGGAACCAAGAGAUUUGAGCCUAGACAUUUGGAUGAAAAGCGAUUUCCACCUGGAGAAAGUCACUGCCCUUCUGUGCAGAGUACCAUUGUGUCUUGAAUCCAGCUUGGCCAUAAGGAAAUGGGGCGAGACUUUGUCAUGUAUGUCGCUGAAGUUCAGCUAUGCAAAAAUGUUCACCUAUCCUUGAUCAACCAGUCCAGGAACCAUCAAAGAAGAAAAUGAGAUUCGACUUAGAAGACCUGUUCUUUAUAAACCCCUGCACAGCCCUAAUGAUCAACACCACUUCCAGUGCUCAUAAAUUACUGCUUCAAUAAUUGUUCUGCAAUUCUGCCUAUUCUCAUUGAAUGCUUCGUAUAAUCCCUUUAUUUACUUUGGGCUACGAUUCAUUUUUAUCAGUCAAAUGACUACUAGACUAUCCUGGUUUCUAAUUUGAAAUGUAUCCAAAGAAGAUUCCUGUCUCACCCUCUGCAAUCCACUUGCAUGUCUGACCACACUCGGUGCCUACACAAUCUUCACUUUGUCUAGCCUAAAUUCUUCUAACUGUGGCCUAAGGCCUUGGAAGAAUGAUGCCUCUGUGGGGUAAGAACUGCCUUCGUGGCAUAAGAAAGGCAGACCUGGGUGAUCUGGAAGGGCUGUUGCAAGGGGAUAGGAGUGCUGAGGCCUUUUCCAUUAAGAAUACACAGGACUAUGGAGACUCUUGUUUUACUAGAAACUUCUUCACAGAUACCUUAAAUUAGGAAGAAAAUGCCUUUGGUUCUUGGUUCUACUAUUGGCUUCAAAUUCUUAGGCAUGCCAGACCCUACUGAACAUCUUGACACAUGUCCUUUCUUCUCUGAACUGGCGCACAGGCAUGGUGAGUAACU